rnacentral:tRNA from 1 species
GUUUCUGUGGCGCAAUCGGUUAGCGCCUUCGGCUGUUAACCGAAAGGUUGAUGGUUCAAAUCCAUCCAGAAACG